CAACGCCGCGUGAGUGAUGAAGGUUUUCGGAUCGUAAAGCUCUGUUGUUAGGGAAGAACAAGUGCCGUUCGAAUAGGUCGGCACCUUGACGGUACCUAACCAGAAAGCCACGGCUAACUACGUGCCAGCAGCCGCGGUAAUACGUAGGUGGCAAGCGUUGUCCGGAAUUAUUGGGCGUAAAGCGCGCGCAGGCGGUCUUUUAAGUCUGAUGUGAAAGCCCACGGCUCAACCGUGGAGGGUCAUUGGAAACUGGGAGACUUGAGUACAGAAGAGGAGAGUGGAAUUCCACGUGUAGCGGUGAAAUGCGUAGAUAUGUGGAGGAACACCAGUGGCGAAGGCGACUCUCUGGUCUGUAACUGACGCUGAGGCGCGAAAGCGUGGGGAGCAAACAGGAUUAGAUACCCUGGUAGUCCACGCCGUAAACGAAGAGUGCUAGGUGUUAGGGGUUUCGAUGCCCUUAGUGCCGAAGUUAACACAUUAAGCACUCCGCCUGGGGAGUACGACCGCAAGGUUG
rnacentral:rRNA from 1 species